UUUUUAUUUUUUAUUUUUUAAUUUUCAAUCCUCUCCCCGCAGUACGCUGGAUGCUGUGCUUUGAGCAGUUAGCGCCCCGCGUUAAUCGUUGUAUCUCGGAAUGAUAUUUCGGCAGCGAUCAUUACGGGCUGCCAACAAUGAGCCUCCCCUGUUGUAAAGCCGUGAGGCGCAGCGCUAACAGCUAUGUGAGCUCGGCGCCGUUUGGCCGAGGGGCGUGCAGUGCCUUCCGCCCUCCUUAUCACACAUCCAGAAAGCUCAAUAAUCGUUAAAAUCGACACCGACUGCACACGCCCGACAAUCUAAGAGGUCUUUUCCAACCUUAACGACCCUACGGUUCUGUCUUACAAAGGAAGUACCCCAUCCGGAGGCACGGAGCACUUGUCCCGAUGGCCGAGCUGCGGAUGUUGCAGGCUGGACUUCAGGAGUUCAGAAUGCAAAUCAGGCCACGGGGUUUGGUUCUAUUAUUCUCCCCGCUGAAAUGUGUGUUUUAUGGAAAUAUGGGGCUCUUGCGUAAUGCUGUAUUUUGUGCGUGGCAAGGUCAGAGAGAACCGGAUUGCUUAGGUUUAAAAUGCUGGAUGUUAGAUUUUGAUUUUGGUUUUUGAUUAAAAUAUAAACAUAUAAUAACCGUAUCUCCGGCAAAACGCAGUCUGUUUAGGAAGUACUUUAAAAUAUGUUUGUCUUGGCUGAUUCCCAGGCACAUUAUUUUCAAACAAACUCAUGUAUUGUGUUUCCUUGUGAAGGAUUAAAACUUUUGAUACGUUUUCUCUUGCAGUUCAGGGCUCACGGCAGACUGGCUGGAUAGAGUUUCAGAGAUAAUCUGCCAUAUUAAAUAUUUAACCGUGUUAUCGAAAAUUACCAAGUACAAAUUAACUGUGAGUUUGCAUUCCUGAAGAUGGAUUCUGAUAAGGCUGAGCUGUGAGUUACACUUCAGGAAGUUUGACUUAGUGAUGCUGAUUGCAACUUCCUUGAUGUCAUAGAGCAGCUAUGUGACAUCAUCCUGCUGCAGUGAUGGUACUGCAUGGGGUGGCAGCUUUCUCUUGUUCUGGAGGUCAGGCUUGGUCUGCUCACGCCGCUCACGCCCUGCCCUGCAUGCUGACCUGGCAACGACUGCUCUUUUCAGGUGGGAAACUGGAGCACAGUGCAGAGCUCUGGUAUGAGCAGGUCCCAGCUCCCGGAGCUGUUUGCAUCCCAGGCUCUCUUCAUCCUGGCUUUACAGUGAAAGUGGCUGCCUACAGUUCUCCAAAAUCUCUGACGCUGUACUUCUGUUGUCCUGGUGCAUGCAGUUUAUUUUCAUUUUAUCUAAUAGUUCUUCCACGGUUAGUAAUGCAGCUCCUGAGCUGUCUGAAGUAAUUAGUGGGAAUUCUGAUGCGAGACCUUGUGAUACAUGCAGUUCCCUUCCGUGUUGGUGACUGCUCCUGUCUUUCCUCUAAGUGCUGUUUUAUUAAUGCAGCCUCCACUUGCUGAGACUUCAAUCAUGUACCAGUAUAAUAAAUACUACAUUUACAAGGCGUGGAAAGUAAAAUGGUUCUGGAGGGUGAUCCAGAUGGGACGCAGUCUGUUUCUGUGGAAGUGGUACAAACCCAUCUUUUGUCUUCUAGACUUCUAUCUCAGUGUACUUUCUUGCCCUCAUGAUUACCUUGCACUUUGCACACAUACACCCAUUUUAUUGCUUAUUUAAAUAGAUGUCCUGGUUCCUGUCUCUCCUGGGGUGAUGUGCACAUUCACCAUGGUUUAGAUAUGAUCACCUUUAGACCCAAUAUUUUGUGGUAUGGUUUUUUCCAAUGGAAAUUUCUGCUCUUAUCCCUUACAGUAAAAUAUUUAGCUGUGAAUCAUUCGCUUUUUUAUGCUUAUAAUGUUAUCAUUUAAUAUUUUUACAAAUUAAUUGAUACUGGGUUUUUUUGUUUGCUUGUUUAAAUUGUAAAGCUGCUUGCUAGUUUAAAAACAUGCUGGGAACCUUUACCUAAGGAUGUUUUAUGUCCAGUCCACAGGAUAGAGUGAGAAUACCCUUGUCAGUUGUUCAGUGUAGCAGUAGCUGAGCUCGUGGCCAAUUUGUGGGCCUGCUGUUCUAGAAAUGACAGCUUCGAGGUGGGCAGUGAAUUCUGAGGCUGUAGUUACACACCACAUCUGUCCCUCCUGAGAAACCCAGUUGCCAAGCGUUGAGUUAACCUUGCUUGAAGGGUUGUUCUUGCAGUUCUGAAGGUGUCACAUCAUAAGGUAAUGUCUCCAAAAUCAGACUGGUAGUUUUCAUUACCUAAGAAGCAGAAACCUAAGUAGGGUGAGCUCUGUACUUCAGUUUGCUGGCUUGUUCAGUUGGGUUGAGCUUUGCCACAGAGAAAUCCCCCGAUGUACGCUGUGCCCAUGCGAGCUGGAGGCGCGAGGUGGGUGAUGGAGCUGAUAAUGAUGAUAAUGAUGGUUUUUUUUUCUUGGUUUGAACUUAUGUUAAUUUCUAGACUUAACAUCAACUUAGCAGUUUCUGAACCUUCACCAGAGCAGUGGUCUUUCCUUAGCUUUACUAGAACAAAGACAUUUUAAGAAUUUUCAUAGAGAAUUGUGUAAUCUUAUUACAAAUGUUUCUGUUUAAAUCGCUUCCUUGUACUUAAAUAACAAUCUGUUGCCAGGUAUUUCUUGAUUGUAGUUUUUGUCAGAUGCAAUUUAUUCCCCUCUGUGUUUCUGUUAUAUUUUUUUUUCUGAUUGUGCAACCCUUAGGUUGGCAAACAGUUUCUUUCCCAAACAGUUCUUCUGACUUCAUUGGGACUGACUGCAUGAGUAAUUACUCACUCGUGUAAGGAUUGCACAGGUCACAAAUAAGACCCUUGUUUCUAGGACCUCAUGGACAAAACCCACAAAAAUAAUCAGUAUAGAGUUCUGAUAUUCCUCGGGGAAAGGCAAAACAAAGUAUUUUUAAAAGCAGCUUCCUCCCUUGAGACGCAGGCAUGAAAGACUCCCUCAGAUAUCUUUCCUUGCAGAUAAGAAGUCCGUACUGGAGUGGUUAGUUGUGUGUUGCUAGCUGGGUGAGCUGACUUGAGCAAUGUUUGGGUUUGACCAUUCUCCUGAUUUUUAUUUUGAAGCAGUCAGGAUUUUCUCAGCCUGUUCUGUUGACCCGGUUGCUGGUGCUGCUUCUGCAGAGAUCCAACUCUGCACAUGGAUAAGGCUUGUGACUACAGCAGGAAGGCGCAGCUGUUUGAUCCAGCCCGUUCCCUAACCCUAUAAAAUCAGCAAAAACUUAAGAUCGUUAAUUAAUCCUUCAUCCUUCUGUUGUAAAUAGAGCUUGUGCUGUGCCUGCCUGCCCUCUGACUGAUGGCCAGGCACGCUGUCCUCUGUCACGUGGUGUAUGUGAAGGAAAGCGCUCAAAUUAUUAUUUGAAAAACAGAACUUCAACACUUUCAAUUAUUCAGUUAGCUAAUUAGUGAAACACGUUACCAUUCGGUGACGUUGCUGCAGCGUGAGGAGUUAUGUCUGCUUAGGGAGAGACUGGAAUCCUGCAUUUCCAGCAGCGUGCAGAUCCAGGGGAGAUGUGGUGAAGCUCCGCAGCGCUCCUGCCCAGGUAUUUCGUCAUUUGAUAAAAGCUCUUUGUGCAAAAGCCAUUUGAAAGCAUGAGACUCACAUCUGUUAUCUGAUGAAACAUUUGCCUCUGAGCGCCUGCUGGCUUAUUGCAUGGUUUUAUGAUUGUUUCUUGUAAUGCUGUGUUUCUUGCAGUGAUUCUCUUUUUUUUUUUUUUAAUGGCUUGAAAUGCUUAUUGAUGAUGAGAAGUGUUGCUAUAUUGUUGCUGCUGCUGUUGAACAAAGGUCAGAAAAGUUACACUUUGGCUACCAGUUUGGGAGAGCAUUUCUCAGCAACUAAAGAUAAUGCCUCUGGAGGAAUGUGCUCAGAUAAACAGUGUGGCACCAAGAGCUUCCCUUGUUAGGAGCAUGCAAACAAAGAUUGGAAAUCAGUAUUUAACAUCGCAGGUGCAGUCACUGAGAAUGUCUGUCAUCUUCUCCUGUUAUAUUCUGGAAGCACAGAUUUCUGUGUGCUGCUCAGAACAGGAGGACGUUGUGUUGGACUGCAGUUACACAUCCCACUUUUUCAUCAGAAGAACUGCUUUCUGAGGGUGUUUUUUAAAGAUUGGUACUUGGAUCAUGUGUCUACAAGAUACUUGUUUGAAUGCUUAUAGCUCUUUUGGAAAGAGUUAAUAAAGAGGCAACUUACAGAAA